rnacentral:lncRNA from 1 species
GUCUUGCUCUGUCACCCAGGCUGGAGUGCAGUGGUGGGAUCUAGGCUCAUUGCAACCUCUGCUCACUGCAAUCUCUGCCUCCCGGGUUCAAGUGAUUCUCCUGCCUCAGCCUCCUGAGUAGCUGGGAUUACAGGCACACACCACCACACUUGGCUAAUUUUUGUAUUUUUAGUAGAGACGGGAGAUGGGGUUUCACCAUGUUGGUCAGGCUGGUCUCGAACUCCUGACCUCAUGAUCUGCCUGCCUUGGCCUCCCAGAGUGCUGGGAUUACAGGUGUGAGCCACUGUGCCCGGCCCUAUAUUUGUAAUUUCUUUUCAUUACUGGCAGACUUUCCCCUCAUUUACCUGCAUUGCCUUUAAAUUUCCUUAGUCCAUUUCUCCGCAGCUUUGUAUAGUAACAGUCUGGUCUCUGUACAUGCUCUUCAAAAAUUUCAUCUAUUUAAACUCAUUUUCUUUGUAGGAGGUAAAUGAAUUCUUUUCAAGGCAAUCAACCCCAUAUUUAUUCUGUGAAAAUCCUGGAAAUUCUGGCCAUUUUUAUCAACAUUCUUCCUCAUUUGCUAUGUGUUAGUCUCCAGUGGGGUUUCCAGGUGAACAAGUCCCUAAGGAGCUCAAUCAAGUGGGGAAAGAGUCACACAUAUCAACGUUUCACAGCUAAAAUGAUUUGGUGACAGUGAAUACAAUGUGGAGCACAGAGAACAGAGUGACAAAUAACGGCAUUUUCUGAGACAGGUCUCACUGUUGCCCAAGCUGGAUUGCAAUGGCAUCAUCCUAGUUCCCUGCAGCCUGGAACUCCUGAGCUAAAGCAAUCCAUCCGCCUUAGCCUCCUGAGUAGCUGGAACUACAGGCAUGUGCCACCACGCCUCAUUUUUGUAUUUAGGUUGGGCAUUUUAAAAUCUGUCAUCUGUUUUCAACAGUAUUUCUGCAAACUGUGUGUUUAUGUCUACCUAUUUUUAUUUGCUGUUUUUCUGUAUUGAUUUAUGAAAAGUUAUAUAUUAAAAACUUUAUAUAUUGUAUAUAAACAUGUUUUGCAAGCUUUUUUUAGUUUGUCUUUUGACUU